rnacentral:rRNA from 1 species
UACGGAGGAUCCAAGCGUUAUCCGGAUUUAUUGGGUUUAAAGGGUGCGUAGGUGGCCUGUUAAGUCAGGGGUGAAAGACGGUAGCUCAACUAUCGCAGUGCCUUUGAUACUGACGGGCUUGAAUACACUAGAGGUAGGCGGAAUGUGACAAGUAGCGGUGAAAUGCAUAGAUAUGUCACAGAACACCAAUUGCGAAGGCAGCUUACUAUGGUGUCAUUGACACUGAGGCACGAAAGCGUGGGGAUCAAACAGG